rnacentral:rRNA from 1 species
GACAGAGGGGGCAAGCGUUGCUCGGAAUUACUGGGCGUAAAGGGCGCGUAGGCGGGAUGGCAAGUCGGUCGUGAAAUCCCUCGGCUCAACUGAGGAUCGUCGAUCGAUACUGCCGUUCUUGAGGAUUGCAGAGGAGACUGGAAUUCCCGGUGUAGCGGUGAAAUGUGUAGAGAUCGGCAGGAACACCCAGGGGGAAACCAGUCGACUGGGCAUCGUACUGACGCUGAGGUGCGAGAGCGUGGGGAGCGAACCGG